rnacentral:rRNA from 1 species
UACGUAGGGGGGCAAGCGUUGUCCGGAUUUAUUGGGCGUAAAGAGCGUGUAGGCGGCCUGAAAGGUCAGCUGUGAAAACUCGAGGCUCAACCUCGAGACGUCGGUUGAAACCAUCUGGCUAGAGUCCGGAAGAGGAGUGUGGAAUUCCCGGUGUAGCGGUGAAAUGCGCAGAUAUCGGAAGGAACACCUGUGGCGAAAGCGGCUCACUGGACCAUUACUGACGCUGAGGCACGAAAGCUAGGGGAGCAAACAGG